rnacentral:rRNA from 2 species
UUUAACUGAAGAGUUUGAUCAUGGCUCAGAUUGAACGCUGGCGGCAGGCUUAACACAUGCAAGUCGA